rnacentral:tRNA from 1 species
AGCAUGGUGUAGUUGUUUGAGUGUUGAACUACAACUCUGAAGACCAGGGUUCAAAUCCCUGCUGAGCUG